ensembl:lncRNA
UUUCGUCUUAUUUGAAUUAAACGAUAUAGCUAGAUAGUUCAUUUCCUCAGCAGUCAUAUUUUAUUUAGUUAGACAGUAAACAAAUUCCCUCGAUGUGGCUAGCUAACGUUAGCAGCUUGCUAGCAAAGUAGGCUAAUUGUAGAGUAUGCAGGAAGCUCAUGUUGGCUAAGUAGUUAGCUAUAGCUACUUAAACGUUUGUAUGAAACUUUCAAUUUAUAAUUUCGACUUGAGGUAAAUAUUUCGUUUUAGCCUAUACCCAAGAGGGUGAACCUUUCUAUGGACACUGCUUAGCUAGCAAGUUACCUGGGGCAUUGCGGUGUCUGGCACGUUGUCUGAAACGUCUCCUAUGAUGUUUUGCACUGGGCUCUGAAAUUCUGUGGCGAAAAAGUGCUCUCUGGCUCUGACAGGCCCGAGUCUGAGGAUGCUCGCGUCUAAUGUAGUUAGUCUUGUCUGCUUGAUUGUAAGUUGCAGAUAUUGUCCUUAUGGGAGUCUUUUUCUAUUGUCCAAAGGUUACGAGUCUGUCAGAACCCACAAGGUGACAGGGCUAAGUCUAUAACAAACUACAAGUUCUUGGACCUCCACAGAAGAUGUGUGGUGACUGCAGUCUGUUAUUAACAUGGGCUUCCCCAACAUGACCAAGAUUGCGAAACAAUAUCCCUUUUGCUAAUAAUUCUGUAGAUGUGGGAAGAAUUGUUAAUACCAGGGCUGACUCAGCAAUGGAAAUGUGCUGACCUAAAUGAGAUUAUUUUUUAUUUAUGUUCCUGAUUGUUAUGUAAG